rnacentral:rRNA from 1 species
ACGGGUGCGUAACACGUAUGCAACCUACCCCUUAUUAAAGGAUAUACUCGGGAAACUGGGGGCAACACUUUAUAUGCACACGACUAGGCAUCUAGUAGUGUGGAAACGUAAGGAUGAGGGAUGGGCAUGCGUCUGAUUAGCUAGUUGGUAAGGUAACGGCUUACCAAGGCGACGAUCAGUAGCUGGUCUGAGAGGAUGAUCAGCCACACUGGCACUGAGACACGGGCCAGACUCCUACGGGAGGCAGCAGUAAGGAAUAUUGGUCAAUGGUCGAAAGACUGAACCAGCCACGCCGCGUGGAGGAAGACGGUCCUCUGGAUUGUAAACUCCUUUUGCCGAGGGAUAAAAGCGGACAAUAUGUCUUUUUGAAGGUACUCGGUGAAUAAGCCACGGCUAACUACGUGCCAGCAGCCGCGGUAAUACGUAGGUGGCAAGCGUUGUCCGGAUUUAUUGGGUUUAAAGGGUGCGUAGGCGGUUACUUAAGUCAGUCGUUAAAGGCAGCAGCUUAACUGUUGUAAGGCGAUUGAUACUGAUUAACUUGAAUUCUUUAGANGUAGCUGGAAUACGUAGUGUAGAGGUGAA